AUCUUAAUAUAUCUUAAAAAACAUCUUUGAUUAAAACACUUAAACAUUUAAUCUCUCAUAAACCUAUAAAUUAAUAGUACUGAAAAGGAAACCCUAACUAAUUCUAAGUAGUGACUAAUACACGUACCUUGUGCAUUAUGGUUUUACAAGCUCCUAAUUAAAUAUAUACUCCCGAAUACUACGCGAUCUGCCUCUCUAUAGCUAAGAGCCCACUACUAGUUGUAGCACCAACUUUAGAAAAUAGGGUGGCAGAGGCUACAUACCACACGCGCUAGAUAAUUGCUGGUUAUCAGUAAACCUUAUAAAUUAAACCAUGUAGUAUAACUACAAUGUCAGAUUUUAGAGGAUAAGCCCUAAAAUCUAUAGCCAUAAAAAAAUAAAUAUCUUAGUAGGCCUAAAACCAGCCACCUAGAAUACUUUACCGUAUUAUUUAUAUAAUAAACAAUCCAAAAUGCAUGUAAAAACCUGAUAUUUAAGAAAAAUAAUAAACCCUUAAAAUAUUAUGUAAAAAUAAGUAUUUAAUUAAUUAAUACUCUUAAUAUAAUCAACU
rnacentral:rRNA from 1 species